UCUGUUGACAUAUUUUAUAAAGAAAAGAAAAAUCUCUUUGUCAGGUGAUUGUCUGUUAAGCAGAAGAUGCAGAAUUGUUCUAUUGAGGACUUCCCACCCAACAUAACACCUUGUGCUAAAAGCUACUUGAUCAUCUACUUCAAAUCAUCAGAAGUCAAUAUACAACUCAGUCCACCUGCCUGUUGGACCAGGAACUGGUGCUUCCCUUUGGUAGAUUAUUUGACUAAGGGUCGCUUUGGUCGUAGUCGAGUGAGAUUUGUUAACAUAAAAUAGUAUUUUGUUGUUUUCGUAAAUGUUUUUUACCUGAAUUAUUUAUUUCAGAAAAAAACUAUAAGCACAUAUCUGGGAAACACAAAACUUAAAGUGGUGUUUUUUCUUAUGGUGAAACUCAAUGAGAUUGAUCCAUCAAUCAAAAUCAAUUCAUGAAUUUGUUGAAAAAAUUGUAUGUAAAAUGUAAAUUCUAAUUUCUAAACAUCACUGCCUCUAUAGUACAAAUUAUAGUUGUAAGUGUAACGGGUGUUUGAUUCCACUUGCCAUCGCUAAGAGUCAUGACAGGAUGUCACGUGGGUGCCCUCUAGUGGGUCCCUGCGGACGUGGGUGCGACACCCUGUAGCUAAAAAGUUAGUCUGCUGCAGGUUGUGUAACCGGUAAGUUGGCUGUAGAAAGUCCCCUUGAAAAGGCUAAUGCUAAAUUCAACUAGCUCAUGUGUUUCAUUCUGUUUGGCAGUUAUGAUGCCACGAGGUUCCUUCUGAGGACGUUAACUUCUGUGUGUUCGCCAGGUGUCUUAACGUCACAAAAUAAACGGCCGAUCCGAGCCGAAUGUG